GUGUCAGCCGCCGCGGUAAUACGGAGGGCGCAAGCGUUGUUCGGAAUUACUGGGCGUAAAGCGCGUGUAGGCGGUUCGGUAAGUCGGAUGUGAAAUCCCGGGGCCCAACCCCGGAACUGCAUUCGAUACUGCCGAGCUAGAGUCCCGGAGAGGGUGGCGGAAUUCCCAGUGUAGAGGUGAAAUUCGUAGAUAUUGGGAGGAACACCGGUGGCGAAGGCGGCCACCUGGACGGUGACUGACGCUGAGACGCGAAAGCGUGGGGAGCAAACAGGAUUAGAUACCCUGGUAGUCCACGCCGUAAACGGUGGGUGCUAGACGUCGGGGGUAUUGACCCCCCCGGUGUCGCAGCUAACGCAUUAAGCACCCCGCCUGGGGAGUACGGCCGCAAGGCUAAAACUUAAAUGAAUUGACGGGG
rnacentral:rRNA from 1 species